AGUGAACGCUGGCGGUAGGCCUAACACAUGCAAGUCGGACGGCAGCACAGUAAGAGCUUGCUCUUACGGGUGGCGAGUGGCGGACGGGUGAGGAAUACAUCGGAAUCUACUUUUUCGUGGGGGAUAACGUAGGGAAACUUACGCUAAUACCGCAUACGACCUACGGGUGAAAGCAGGGGAUCUUCGGACCUUGCGCGAUUGAAUGAGCCGAUGUCGGAUUAGCUAGUUGGCGGGGUAAAGGCCCACCAAGGCGACGAUCCGUAGCUGGUCUGAGAGGAUGAUCAGCCACACUGGACCUGAGACACGGUCCAGACUCCUACGGGAGGCAGCAGUGGGGAAUAUUGGACAAUGGGCGCAAGCCUGAUCCAGCCAUACCGCGUGGGUGAAGAAGGCCUUCGGGUUGUAAAGCCCUUUUGUUGGGAAAGAAAAGCAGCAGGUUAAUACCCCGCUGUUCUGACGGUACCCAAAGAAUAAGCACCGGCUAACUUCGU
rnacentral:rRNA from 1 species